rnacentral:rRNA from 1 species
GAUGAACGCUGGCGGCGUGCUUAACACAUGCAAGUCGAGCGAAGCGCUUACGACAGAACCUUCGGGGGAAGAUGUAAGGGACUGAGCGGCGGACGGGUGAGUAACGCGUGGGUAACCUGCCUCAUACAGGGGGAUAACAGUUGGAAACGGCUGCUAAUACCGCAUAAGCGCACAGUAUCGCAUGAUACGGUGUGAAAAACUCCGGUGGUAUGAGAUGGACCCGCGUCUGAUUAGCUAGUUGGAGGGGUAACGGCCCACCAAGGCGACGAUCAGUAGCCGGCCUGAGAGGGUGAACGGCCACAUUGGGACUGAGACACGGCCCAGACUCCUACGGGAGGCAGCAGUGGGGAAUAUUGCACAAUGGGGGAAACCCUGAUGCAGCGACGCCGCGUGAAGGAAGAAGUAUCUCGGUAUGUAAACUUCUAUCAGCAGGGAAGAAAAUGACGGUACCUGACUAAGAAGC